rnacentral:misc_RNA from 1 species
GAUGAAGAACGCAGCGAAAUGCGAUACGUAAUGUGAAUUGCAGAAUUCAGUGAAUCAUCGAGUCUUUGAACGCACAUUGCGCCCCCUGGUAUUCCGGGGGGCAUGCCUGUCCGAGCGUCAUUGCUGCCCUCAAGCACGGCUUGUGUGUUGGGCCUCCGUCCUCCUCCCGGGGGACGGGCCCGAAAGGCAGCGGCGGCACCGCGUCCGGUCCUCGAGCGAAUGGGGCUUCGUCACCCGCUCUUGUAGGCCCGGCCGGCGCUUGCCGACACAUCAAUCUUUUUUCUAGGUUGACCUCGGAUCAGGUAGGGAUACCCGCUGAACUUAAGCAUAUCAAUAAGCGGAGGA